UCACGGUAUGAGGAGCAUUGACAGUAGGUUCUUCAAGUAUCUCAUCUGUAAGGACGUAUAAAAUCCUCUCAUGCUUUAAGAUGAUCUUCAACUUUUGAUACCAGCUAUUGAAGUUGGGUCUGAUGAGCUUGUUACUGUCCAACAGCAUACGAAAGGAUAGUGUGUUGGCCAUAACUGAAAGAAAAAAUAUAAGUCUAUUAAUAUAUGAAUUAUUUUUAAUCAUAAAGAUAUAGACUUUAGUUUA
rnacentral:lncRNA from 1 species